rnacentral:rRNA from 1 species
CCUACGGGAGGCAGCAGUGAGGAAUAUUGGACAAUGGGCGCAAGCCUGAUCCAGCAAUGCCGCGUGCAGGAUGACGGUCCUAUGGAUUGUAAACUGCUUUUAUACAGGAAGAAACACUGGUUCGUGAACCAGCUUGACGGUACUGUAAGAAUAAGGAUCGGCUAACUCCGUGCCAGCAGCCGCGGUAAUACGGAGGAUCCAAGCGUUAUCCGGAAUCAUUGGGUUUAAAGGGUCCGUAGGCGGUUUAGUAAGUCAGUGGUGAAAGCCCAUCGCUCAACGGUGGAACGGCCAUUGAUACUGCUAAACUUGAAUUAUUAGGAAGUAACUAGAAUAUGUAGUGUAGCGGUGAAAUGCUUAGAGAUUACAUGGAAUACCAAUUGCGAAGGCAGGUUACUACUAAUGGAUUGACGCUGAUGGACGAAAGCGUGGGUAGCGAACAGGAUUAGAUACCCUGGUAG